AGUGAACGCUGGCGGUAGGCCUAACACAUGCAAGUCGAACGGCAGCACAGUAAGAGCUUGCUCUUACGGGUGGCGAGUGGCGGACGGGUGAGGAAUACAUCGGAAUCUACUUUUUCGUGGGGGAUAACGUAGGGAAACUUACGCUAAUACCGCAUACGACCUACGGGUGAAAGCAGGGGAUCUUCGGACCUUGCGCGAUUGAAUGAGCCGAUGUCGGAUUAGCUAGUUGGCGGGGUAAAGGCCCACCAAGGCGACGAUCCGUAGCUGGUCUGGGAGGAUGAUCAGCCACACUGGAACUGAGACACGGUCCAGACUCCUACGGGAGGCAGCAGUGGGGAAUAUUGGACAAGGGGCGCAAGCCUGAUCCAGCCAUACCGCGUGGGUGAAGAAGGCCUUCGGGUUGUAAAGCCCUUUUGUUGGGAAAGAAAAGCAGCAGGUUAAUACCCCGCUGUUCUGACGGUACCCAAAGAAUAAGCACCGGCUAACUUCGU
rnacentral:rRNA from 1 species